GGGUUUUGCUUAUUUACAGAGAUGCCAUUACAUUUUUGUGAUAACACACUGGAUUUGACCUUUGUUAUAUUGGCUGAAAGUGAAGAUUUUGACAUGAUGAGGAGACAAUUGAGCUGCUGAGAAGUUUUUCUUCUUUUAAUGACAUUCAGACACUCCUGCUACAAGAAGAUGAGUUAGCAUUUGCCAUCUUCAUCGUGCUGCCAACUGAUCUCUCCCAGUUUAUUUCUGGUAGAAUUUCCAAUAUUUUUAAUACCAUAAUGCUGGCAGAUAAAAGAUUAAGAAUAAA